GAUGAAGAACGCAGCGAAAUGCGAUAAGUAGUGUGAAUUGCAGAAUUCAGUGAAUCAUCGAAUCUUUGAACGCACAUUGCGCCUUCUAGUAUUCUGGGAGGCAUGCCUGUUUGAGCGUCAUUAAACCUCUCUCAAGUAUGAUUACUUGGAUGUGAAGGAAGAGUACCUUAAACUUAAGGAGUGUUCUCCUUUGAAAUUGAUUUGCAGAUGGUAAUGUUAUUAAAUCCCUGAUGUUGUAAGAAAUAACAGUGGUUUUGUAGACUAUUAUCUAGCUUUAAAUUAUAAUUUUUAUUAUGGUUGACCUCAAAUCAGGUAAGGAUACCCGCUGAACUUAAGCAUAUCAAUAAGCGGAGGA
rnacentral:misc_RNA from 1 species